UGCACUGCAUGGUGACUGACAAUGCAGCUAACAUGAAGCUGAGUGUCCAGCUCCUCAACCUCCGGCAUGUGUCUUGCUUUGCACACACCCUAAAUCAUGUAGUUAAAAAAGCCUUGGACCAAACACCCCCAUCAAUGAGAUAAGGGAAAAAAGCAGGAAAGUGGUGGGGUUGUUUAGGUCCAGCUGCAAAGCUAAAGACAGACUCUCUGAAAUGCAACAGCAGAUGGGCCGACCAACCCUUAAAUUAAUACAGGAGGUGGACACAAGAUGGAACAGCACCUUUGACAUGUUUCAAAGACUAUGAUCAGAGAGAGCCUGGGGGGGCGGCUCUCUCCAACUUAGAGAAUGAUGUCUCUCCUCCGUCCUGUGCAGAAUAUGAAGUGAUUCAUGAGGCACUGUUUCUGUUGCAGCCUUUUAAAGCAGCAACAACUGAGCUGUCAGAGGAGAAGAGAGUGUCAGCAUCAAAAGUCAUUCCUCUAUAUCGGAUGCUGCAGCACAACCUGUUUGAAAAAUUGAGGCACUCAAAGCAGCCAGCAACUCAGCAAUUGGGCACAUUCUUGAAGGAUGGACCGCAGGCAAGGUGUGGUCAA